CGGAUGUGGUGGAAUGGUAGACACAACAGACUUAAAAUCUGUUGAGGCGUGUCCUCGUGCGGGUUCGAGUCCCGCCUUCCGC
rnacentral:tRNA from 1 species